rnacentral:rRNA from 1 species
GACGAACGCUGGCGGCGUGCCUAAUACAUGCAAGUUGAGCGCUGAAGGUUGGUACUUGUACCAACUGGAUGAGCAGCGAACGGGUGAGUAACGCGUGGGGAAUCUGCCUUUGAGCGGGGGACAACAUUUGGAAACGAAUGCUAAUACCGCAUAAAAACUUUAAACACAAGUUUUAAGUUUGAAAGAUGCAAUUGCAUCACUCAAAGAUGAUCCCGCGUUGUAUUAGCUAGUUGGUGAGGUAAAGGCUCACCAAGGCGAUGAUACAUAGCCGACCUGAGAGGGUGAUCGGCCACAUUGGGACUGAGACACGGCCCAAACUCCUACGGGAGGCAGCAGUAGGGAAUCUUCGGCAAUGGACGAAAGUCUGACCGAGCAACGCCGCGUGAGUGAAGAAGGUUUUCGGAUCGUAAAACUCUGUUGGUAGAGAAGAACGUUGGUGAGAGUGGAAAGCUCAUUAAGUGACGGUAACUACCCAGAAAGGGACGGCUAACUACGU